UAGGGAAUCUUCGGCAAUGGGGGCAACCCUGACCGAGCAACGCCGCGUGAGUGAAGAAGGUUUUCGGAUCGUAAAGCUCUGUUGUAAGAGAAGAACGUGUGUGAGAGUGGAAAGUUCACACAGUGACGGUAACUUACCAGAAAGGGACGGCUAACUACGUGCCAGCAGCCGCGGUAAUACGUAGGUCCCGAGCGUUGUCCGGAUUUAUUGGGCGUAAAGCGAGCGCAGGCGGUUUAAUAAGUCUGAAGUUAAAGGAAGCGGCUUAACCAUUGUUCGCUUUGGAAACUGUUAAACUUGAGUGCAGAAGGGGAGAGUGGAAUUCCAUGUGUAGCGGUGAAAUGCGUAGAUAUAUGGAGGAACACCGGUGGCGAAAGCGGCUCUCUGGUCUGUAACUGACGCUGAGGCUCGAAAGCGUGGGGAGCAAACAGG
rnacentral:rRNA from 1 species